rnacentral:rRNA from 1 species
UGGCGAGUGGCGAACGGGUGAGUAAUACAUCGGAACGUGUCCUGGAGUGGGGGAUAGCCCGGCGAAAGCCGGAUUAAUACCGCAUACGAUCCAAGGAUGAAAGCGGGGGACCGAAAGGCCUCGCGCUCAAGGGGCGGCCGAUGGCAGAUUAGCUAGUUGGUGGGGUAAAGGCCUACCAAGGCGACGAUCUGUAGCUGGUCUGAGAGGACGACCAGCCACACUGGGACUGAGACACGGCCCAG